UACAAAACAACGAGGAACGGUCAUGGUGGGUCAGUGAAUAUGGUUCCUUAGGUCUUAUGUGUUCGCCUGAAAUCAUUUUAGGCGAUCCGGUUUCGGGGCUAUAGCACACAAAAAAUAUGGGAAUCGGAUGGAAUUCUACCUUUUUGGCCGUAAAACACAAAAGAACGAGGAAUGGUCAUGGAGGGGUGGUGACUAUGAUUCCUUAGGUCAUAUUAGAUGGCCCGAACACAUUUUUGGUCGAUUGGGGUCUGGGGGCCCGGGCCUACUCGGAAGACGUGGGCUUUAGCACAUGAAAAUAUGAGAAUCGGACGGAAUUCUAGUAUUUUGGCCGGAAAACACAAAACAAAUGGGGAGAGGCCAUGGCGGGGUGGUGACUAUGGUUCCUUAGGUCGUAUUUGAUUGUCCAAAAAAUUUUUAGGCGAUCCGAGUCCGGGAGGCCCGACCCACUUGUAAGGCGUGGGCUAUAGCACAUGAAAAUAUGAGAAUUAGGCGGAAUUCUAGUUUUUUAUCCGUAAAACGCAAAACAUGAGGAACGAUCAUUGCGGAGUGGUAACUAGGGUUCCUUAGGUCGUAUUUCAUGGCCCGAAAACUUUUUAGGCGAUCGAGGUCCGAGGGCCCGCGCCCACUCGGAAGGCGUGUGCUAUAACUUUGUAUGACUUUUCUCUUCUAUGUUUUUGUAUUUCCUCCCUUUCCUUUUCUAUUUGUAUUUUUUUUAUCAUUGCUUCCAUUGAAUUCCGUGUUCUAUAAUGACAAAACCUCUUAUUUUAUUGAUCAUCAAAAUAUAAAAUUCGGGCAUUUCCUUCAAUUGGGUGGUUUUUCGUUUUUCAUUGGAACUCUACUAAAACUAAAAAAGAAAUCAAGUUUGCUUAUCUCACUUAACUUGAUUGAAUCCAUUAUGGAUUAAAUAAAUCUAAGUAAAUUGUAGUUUUGUUUUCCACUUAAUUUAUUUUCCCAUC
rnacentral:lncRNA from 1 species